UACUUGUGUUUUCUGCUCAUCUCCAUCGGCUAUUAUUUUCAGGUGCUUUAAGUUGUCUUUGUGUAUUAUUGGAUGUUUUUGUGUUAUUGGGUGUUUUCGGGUGAGAUAUUGUAGUUAUUUCGGGGGACAUCUUUUCGAGUUCUGGCUUUUUUAGUAUCCCCUCUUAUUAUGUCCAUAUUUAGUUUUCAUAUUUGGGGUUUUUUCGGGUUUUGAAGUAAAGAGUACGAUAUUCCCG
rnacentral:lncRNA from 1 species